GUUUUCGGUUAAAUCCAUACGCUUAACGUAUGGGCUGCCGGAAAUACUACAAAGCUAGGGAGUGGGAGAGGUAGACGGUACUCGGUAGGAAGGGGUAAAAUCCUUUGAUCUAUUGAUGACCACCUGUGGCGAAGGCGGUCUACCAGAACACGUCCGACGGUGAGGGAUGAAAGCUGGGGGAGCAAACCGGAUUAGAUACCCGGGUAGUCCCAGCUGUAAACGAUGCAGACUCGGUGAUGCCCUGGCUUGUGGCCAGUGCAGUGCCGCAGGGAAGCCGUUAAGUUUGCCGCCUGGGAAGUACGUACGCAAGUAUGAAACUUAAAGGAAUUGGCGGGGGAGCACCACAAGGGGUGAAGCCUGCGGUUCAAUUGGAGUCAACGCCAGAAAUCUUACCCGAGGAGACAGCAGAAUGAAGGUCAAGCUGGAGACUUUACCAGACAAGCUGAGAAGUGGUGCAUGGCCGUCGCCAGCUCGUGCCGUGAGAUGUCCUGUUAAGUCAGGUAACGAGCGAGAUCCCUGCCUCUAGUUGCCACCAUUACUCUCAGGAGUAGUGGGGCGAAUUAGCGGGACCGCCACAGUUAAUGUGGAGGAAGGAAGGGGCCACGGCAGGUCAGUAUGCCCUGAAACCUUGGGGCCACACGCGGGCUGCAAUGAUAGUGACAAUGAGUUCCUAAACCGAAAGGUGGAGGCAAUCUUCAAACGCUAUCACAGUUAUGAUUGAGGGCUGCAACUCGCCCUCAUGAAUAUGGAAUCCCUAGUAACUGCGUGUCAUUACCGCGCGGUGAAUACGUCCCUGCUCCUUGCACACACCGCCCGU
rnacentral:rRNA from 1 species